rnacentral:rRNA from 1 species
ACGCCGCGUGAGUGAUGAAGGUUUUCGGAUCGUAAAGCUCUGUUGUUAGGGAAGAACAAGUGCGAGAGUAACUGCUCGCACCUUGACGGUACCUAACCAGAAAGCCACGGCUAACUACGUGCCAGCAGCCGCGGUAAUACGUAGGUGGCAAGCGUUGUCCG